rnacentral:lncRNA from 1 species
AUGGCACCUUGUCUCCAGGGCGUUUGCAGCCUCUCAGUGCACAGAGAAUCACACCAAACAAGAGCACAGCAAAGAACGGAGCAUACGGGCGCACGUCACCAGGGAAAACCAUCCUGUACUGAGCUGGAAACGGUCACGAGAGAUGACGUCUCGACAAGCAGUGACCUACGGGCAUCAGAAAAGCGUCAGAAAAAUCCAGAAAAGGCACCCGCAGCGCUACCUCUAGGAAAAACAAGGGCGACCUUCGGCUCAUCUUUCCUUUGCACUUGUUAAGUGUAGACCCACUUGUACAAAAGCAAUUACUCUCCGUCCUGGGUUUCUCGUCCACUUACCAGUUUCUACCUCAGGUCUAUCCCCAUGUUUCUAAGUAGAAUUUUAAUCAUGACAAAACACCCUUUCAGGUGGCUGCUUCACAAUUUCCCUAAAGGCAUUGAAAUUGUUACACUUUUUCCAAAAAUAAAAUGAGUCACUGUCAUCA